UGCGAGGUAGCUCAGUCCGGUCAGAGCAGCGGGUUCAUAUCCCGAAUGUCACAGGUUCAAAUCCUGUCCUCGCAACCA
rnacentral:tRNA from 2 species